rnacentral:rRNA from 1 species
GAUGAACGCUGGCGGCGUGCCUAAUACAUGCAAGUCGAGCGAAUGGAUUAAGAGCUUGCUCUUAUGAAGUUAGCGGCGGACGGGUGAGUAACACGUGGGUAACCUGCCCAUAAGACUGGGAUGACUCCGGGAAACCGGGGCUAAUACCGGAUAACAUUUUGAACCGCAUGGUUCGAAAUUGAAAGGCGGCUUCGGCUGUCACUUAUGGAUGGACCCGCGUCGCAUUAGCUAGUUGGUGAGGUAACGGCUCACCAAGGCAACGAUGCGUAGCCGACCUGAGAGGGUGAUCGGCCACACUGGGACUGAGACACUGCCCAGACUCCUACGGGAGGCAGCAGUAGGGAAUCUUCCGCAAUGGACGAAAGUCUGACGGAGCAACGCCGCGUGAGUGAUGAAGGCUUUCGGGUCGUAAAACUCUGUUGUUAGGGAAGAACAAGUGCUAGUUGAAUAAGCUGGCACCUUGACGGUACCUAACCAGAAAGCCACGGCUAACUACGUGCCAGCCGCCGCCGUAA